rnacentral:rRNA from 1 species
AGUUUGAUCAUGGCUCAGAUUGAACGCUGGCGGCAGGCUUAACACAUGCAAGUCGAGCGGAAACGAUGGUAGCUUGCUACCAGGCGUCGAGCGGCGGACGGGUGAGUAAUACUUAGGAAUCUACCUAGUAGUGGGGGAUAGCACGGGGAAACUCGUAUUAAUACCGCAUACGACCUACGGGAGAAAGGGGGCAGUUUACUGCUCUCGCUAUUAGAUGAGCCUAAGUCGGAUUAGCUAGAUGGUGGGGUAAAGGCCUACCAUGGCGACGAUCUGUAGCUGGUCUGAGAGGAUGAUCAGCCACACCGGGACUGAGACACGGCCCGGACUCCUACGGGAGGCAGCAGUGGGGAAUAUUGGACAAUGGGGGAAACCCUGAUCCAGCCAUGCCGCGUGUGUGAAGAAGGCCUUUUGGUUGUAAAGCACUUUAAGCAGUGAAGAAGACUCUUCGGUUAAUACCCGGAGACGAUGACAUUAGCUGCAGAAUAAGCACCGGCUAACUUCUGUG